UACAGAGGUCCCGAGCGUUGUUCGGAUUCACUGGGCGUAAAGGGUGUGUAGGAGGUCAGGUAAGUCGGGUGUGAAAUCCCACCGCUUAACGGUGGAAUGGCAUUCGAUACUGCUUGGCUUGAGGAUCGGAGAGGAGAGCGGAAUUCCAGGUGUAGCGGUGAAAUGCGUAGAUAUCUGGAGGAACACCGGUGGCGAAAGCGGCUCUCUGGAAGGUUCCUGACUCUGAAACACGAAAGCCAGGGGAG
rnacentral:rRNA from 1 species